AGAUUGAACGCUGGCGGCAUGCCUAACACAUGCAAGUCGAACGGGAGUAGCAAUACUCUAGUGGCGGACGGGUGAGGAAUACGUAGGAAUUUGCCCUUAAGUGGGGGAUAGCCCGGGGAAACCCGGAUUAAUACCGCAUGACCUCGAAAGAGCAAAGUGGGGGAUCGCAAGACCUCACGCUUUUGGAGAAGCCUACGUCGGAUUAGCUAGUUGGUGAGGUAAUGGCUCACCAAGGCGACGAUCCGUAACUGGUCUGAGAGGAUGAUCAGUCACACGGAACUGAGACACGGUCCGGACUCCUACGGGAGCAGCAGUGGGGAAUAUGGACAAGUGGGCGCAAGCCUGAUCCAAGCAAUGCCGCGUAGUGUGAAGAAGGCCGUUGGUUAGUAAAGCGUAACUUUAAGGUUAGGGAAGAAAAACUCGACUCUAACUACGAGUGAGUCUUGACCGUACCGACAG
rnacentral:rRNA from 1 species